CCUACGGGAGACAGCAGUGAGGAAUAUUGGUCAAUGGGCGCGAGCCUGAACCAGCCAAGUCGCGUGAGGGAAGACGGUCCUAUGGAUUGUAAACCUCUUUUGUCGGGGAGCAAAAGACGCCACGCGUGGCGUUCCGAGAGUACCCGAAGAAAAAGCCUCGGCUAACUCCGUGCCAGCAGCCGCGGUAAUACGGAGGAUGCGAGCGUUAUCCGGAUUUAUUGGGUUUAAAGGUUGCGCAGGCGGAAGAUAAAGUCAGUGGUAAAAUUGAGAGGCUCAACCUCUUCGAGCCGUUGAAACUGGUAGUCUUGAGUGAGUGUGAAGUAUGCGGAAUUCGUGGUGUAGCGGUGAAAUGCAUAGAUAUCACGCAGAACUCCGAUUGCGAAGGCAGCAUACCGGCGCUCAACUGACGCUCAUGCACGAAAGUGUGGGUAUCGAACAGGAUUAGAUACCCUGGUAGUC
rnacentral:rRNA from 1 species